GACGUAGGGCGCGAGCGUUGUCCGGAUUUAUUGGGCGUAAAGAGUUCGUAGGCGGCUUGUCGCGUCGAAUGUGAAAUCUCAGGGCUCAACCCUGACAUUGCAUUCGAUACGGGCAGGCUAGAGUUCGGUAGGGGAGACUGGAAUUCCUGGUGUAGCGGUGAAAUGCGCAGAUAUCAGGAGGAACACCGGUGGCGAAGGCGGGUCUCUGGGCCGAUACUGACGCUGAGGCGCGAAAGCGUGGGGAGCAAACAGG
rnacentral:rRNA from 1 species